CGCAGUCAGCAGGCACCAGGACAGCGGGUCUGAUGAUGAGUACUCUGUACCAAACCAGGAUUCCAGCAGUGAGGACUCACUCAGUGAUGACAUGGAAGAAGAUGAAGAUGACAGUGGACACGGGCCCAGAACUCCAUAUAAAUACAAGUCCAAAAGCCGUGCCAAAUACCAACCACUGACACAAGCACAGGGAUGGACAGACUCAUGGAAGAAGCAGAAUCACAGCAAGGAAGUUUUCCCCAACUUGAGACCACGAAAAGACCAGUUCACUCAACUCACGGGAGACGCAAUACAACAGUACAUCCCUCAGAC